rnacentral:rRNA from 1 species
CCUACGGGCGGCAGCAGUGGGGAAUAUUGGGCAAUGGGCGCAAGCCUGACCCAGCAACGCCGCGUGAAGGAAGAAGGCUUUCGGGUUGUAAACUUCUUUUAUCAGGGACGAAGCAAGUGACGGUACCUGAUGAAUAAGCCACGGCUAACUACGUGCCAGCCGCCGCGGUAAUACGUAGGUGGCAAGCGUUAUCCGGAUUUACUGGGGGUAAAGGGCGUGUAGGCGGGAGUGCAAGUCAGAUGUGAAAACUAUGGGCUCAACCCAUAGCCUGCAUUUGAAACUGUACUUCUUGAGUGCGGGAGAGGCAAUCGGAAUUCCGUGUGUAGCGGUGAAAUGCGUAGAGAUACGGAGGAACACCAGUGGCGAAGGCGGAUUGCUGGACAGUAACUGACGCUGAGGCGCGAAAGCGUGGGGAGCAAACAGGAUUAGAUACCCCAGUAGUC